GAAAAUUGUCUCCCCCUUGGUAUGACCUCUAAAUCUGUGAACUGCACAAGCUGCUUCUUUCCAAACCACAACAUACAUGCACCAGCCCCCAUCCUUGCAGUCUAGAAAGCAGAGAUAAAAGAAAAAAUAAAUUUAAAAAGAAAAGGUAUGCCGUUCUAUCUCUCCCAUAAAACAACCGAACGGUGGCAUUGGUGUCAGGCCCCUGUAUGUGAUGACUAAGUUAAUAACUACCGUCAUGAGUAACCUCUGAAUUGUAUGAAGAAAGUAAUGCACCUAAACACGCAUUCCUUUUCUUUAUCCAGCCACAUCCACAUCAUUGCACCCCUUUUUCCUGUAUCCAUGCACUAAAAGAACCACAUUUUAUAGCCUUUCAGACGACAUCAUCGAAAGAAACUUGUACUUCUGUACCACCCCUUGACUUCAAGCUCGAAGCAGUAGCCAAACAUUGGAGCAAUGCUAGUACCUCAGCAGUAUCAUCCAAGUAGUACCUAGCUUUGCUUGGUUUUUGGCCAACAGUGCAUGCAAAGAUCUCUGGCGCUGAACAAAAUGACAAACUAGAAGCUGUUCUUGAUAUGCUUUCAAACAUGUCUUCAUCAGAUCUAUCAUCCCCAAUGCACAUCACAAAGUCUGGGGAUUUCCCAUUACUGAUCAUUGCAGAAAGAACUCUCUCUGCAACAAGACCUUUAGUAACUCCCUGUGGCUUUACUUCAACUAUAUGCUGACCCCUCUUCACAACUACUGGCUCAUUUGCAAGGACAUUUUCAAGAUGAUCCAACAAUUCUUUGGCCUGGCAAGAUCCAAAAUCUGGAUCAGCGUAUUGAUGAUGCCACACCAAGGCACUCUCCUUGGUCUCUAUAUAGGAGCCAUCAGUUGCUUCUGUAUACAAUUUUAUCACAGGUUCUGCAAUUUUUUUCCAAUCAAAAUCUGCCACCAAGGAACUGGUUUCCCAACUGGACAUCCUAUUCCACCUCAUUAAGUAUCCAUGCUCCGCUGCUAUACCAAGAUUCUCACAUUGAACAAACCAUUCACUCAGAGAAUCUUUCCCCCUUCCACUAACUAUAAACACAGUGUUCUUAGGGUCACUACAAAGGUUGUUCAGGACAGAUAUAACUUCAGCACUGGGAGUUUUAACAAUGGAAGUUUGAGGCACCACUGUUCCAUCAUAAUCCAAAAAUAUCGCCCUUCUAUAUGUCCUCUUGUAUGCAGAGACAAUAUGUUCAUUGGAAAGCUUCCUAAAGCUUGGUGAAAGUGACAAAAUCCUAAAAUUCAGCCCAAAACCAAUACCCCAGCAACGUUUACUGUAAUGAUCUUUGCAAGCUCGCUCCAAGUCCUGCAUAAAACUGUAGGCCCAGUAUGCCACAUCAUGGAAGCUGAUAUAUCGAUAGUGCUUCUCAUGCCUCAACUGCUUCUCUAAAUCAGGCAUGGUGAGGGCCAGAUUUAAUGCAUCUGCUACAGCUUCAACAUCCCAUGGGUUUACCCUUAUUGCACCACUUAAAGAUGGCGAGCAACCGAUAAACUCUGAAACAACAAUUGUA
rnacentral:misc_RNA from 1 species